rnacentral:lncRNA from 1 species
UAUUUUAGUCCAAAUUACUCUCCACCAUUAUUUUGAAGUUAUAUAAAGGGACUUAAAGGAGGGAAUAAAAAAAGAGAAGUGAGAGAGAUUUUUGAAAAAGGUUCUUCAAGCAUUCUUUACAACCCUAAGCAAGAGCCCACUUAAAGAGUUCAAGAAGCUUUUAAUUCAAGUUCACCAACACCUUAAGAGCUCAUUCAAGUCUCCAACCACCU